rnacentral:rRNA from 1 species
AACGAACGCUGGCGGCAGGCUUAACACAUGCAAGUCGAACGGGCACUUCGGUGCUAGUGGCAGACGGGUGAGUAACGCGUGGGAACGUGCCUUUCGGUUCGGAAUAAUUCAGGGAAACUUGGACUAAUACCGGAUACGCCCUUCGGGGGAAAGAUUUAUCGCCGAAAGAUCGGCCCGCGUCUGAUUAGCUAGUUGGUGAGGUAAAGGCUCACCAAGGCGACGAUCAGUAGCUGGUCUGAGAGGAUGAUCAGCCACAUUGGGACUGAGACACGGCCCAAACUCCUACGGGAGGCAGCAGUGGGGAAUAUUGGACAAUGGGCGCAAGCCUGAUCCAGCCAUGCCGCGUGAGUGAUGAAGGCCUUAGGGUUGUAAAGCUCUUUCAGCUGGGAAGAUAAUGACGGUACCAGCAGAAGAAGCCCCGGCUAACUCCGUGCCAGCCGCCGCAGUAACAC